rnacentral:rRNA from 1 species
GACGAACGCUGGCGGCGUGCUUAACACAUGCAAGUCGAGCGAUGAAGUUCCUUCGGGAAUGGAUUAGCGGCGGACGGGUGAGUAACACGUGGGUAACCUGCCUCAUAGAGGGGAAUAGCCUUUCGAAAGGAAGAUUAAUACCGCAUAAGAUUGUAGUAUCGCAUGAUGCAGCAAUUAAAGGAGUAAUCCGCUAUGAGAUGGACCCGCGUCGCAUUAGCUAGUUGGUGAGGUAACGGCUCACCAAGGCGACGAUGCGUAGCCGACCUGAGAGGGUGAUCGGCCACAUUGGGACUGAGACACGGCCCAGACUCCUACGGGAGGCAGCAGUGGGGAAUAUUGCACAAUGGGGGAAACCCUGAUGCAGCAACGCCGCGUGAGUGAUGACGGUCUUCGGAUUGUAAAACUCUGUCUUCAGGGACGAUAAUGACGGUACCUGAGGAGGAAGCCACGGCUAACUACGUGCCAGCAGCCGCUGUAA